rnacentral:lncRNA from 1 species
GAGCCAAGAUAGCUCACUUUGGUUGGUCAGCUGCUCGACUGGGCUAAGGUUGUUCUUCUCGGCUUACGUCCAAGAUCAAGAGAGUAGACCUGGCACAAGGUCAAGGUGUCCAGUACUUCUCCUAACACAUGCCCCACACUUCUGAGGCCAAACUGCCUUCUGGUUCGAGCAGCGGAAGUCAAAUCAUCACUUCAAUAGAGGUAGAGACUUUUGUCGUGAAAAAUAAAUAUGUUGAUCUAUCUUCUCGAAGCAACGCCGAAUCUAGAGUUUCUCGAGGCAUCAUCAUUGUGGGGUUCUCUUCGGGAAGUUAUUACUGCAACAAUCCUGGCGAAUCGUUGCUUUGUGUCCUAGGCUAACACGUGGCAUGAUUUGCCCUAGUAGUUGAGCUGACAUUUCGAUCAAGGCCGCUCACGACUCUAUAUAAGGGUGUCCCCAACCUUCAACCUCCACUUCUUGCCUCACUUGCUCCUUCGCCCGAGUGCUCGAGUGUCCAAGCUCUCGGGUGGUGCUUCGGCGAAGUCUUUCGUUCCUCCGGCACCGGCAUCUUUCGUGCUUCUCCAUUUUUGAUGGAUCUUCACUCCUUGGCUGCAUGGCCCUUCUCUUUGUCUUAUCCCUCGCUGCCUUGUUCUCUUCUUCAUCUUUUUAUUUAUUUUCUUUUUUAUUUUCCCCCAUGAUCGAUGGGGAGAUUUAACACCUCGGACGGU